CUCUGUUCUGAGGAAGGUGCAGCAGCAGAACUCCGCCUACAAGCUCCUUUACAAGAUCGAGGAGCCCAUUCGCGACAUCGAGGCGUCGGCCGUCAAGGACAUCGCGGAGUUCGCCUCCUUUGUGGCCGUAUCGAAGCAGUCGAUAUACCCUGACAACACAAAGUACUUGCUGAACAAAACCAGCGUCGUGGACAAGUUCAAGGCGGAGAAGCUCCCGGUCUUCGCCUACCUGUUCCAGAACGAGUUCCUGUCGAUGUCAUGGGACGUGUACAACGACCCGAUGGCGGAUAUCAACACGUUCGUAAAGGGGGCCGGCGUCGAGGGCCUCAUCACCGAGUUUCCGGCGACGGCGG
rnacentral:lncRNA from 1 species